GUUCUCUUGGUGUAGCGGCUAUCACGUCUGCCUAACACGCAGAAGGUCGCCAGUUCGAUCCUGGCAGAGAACA
rnacentral:tRNA from 1 species